GUGGGAGGAGCGGGGCGGUGAGAGCCUGGCUAGGCAGGCUGGAAACAGUAGCUCUUAACGGUCCCCCGCCCGUUGGUGGCAAGGCGGCUGGACUGGAAUCCCAGCAGGCGACAUGCGAGGAGGCGGGCAGCCCAGGAGGGUUGGACACGGCAAUGUGGACCUCGCCGCUUCCACAACGAUGCUGGCUACUGAUCGCGUGCACUUCCUUGCCAAAGAAAAGAAAUUAAUGUUAUGACUGGAUGAAGACAAUUGUGAAGAAACUGCACUUUGAGGUUGUCUAUCUCUGUAUUCUGAUGGAAAAGCGUGGAGUUUAGAAGCACUGCUCACUCCUUCAGUUUCUAACAAGUUUGAGACUAUGGUUAGGUGGUGAGGAAGGCAGGCUCAGCACCCAAGCCUUGGGGAGACGCAGAAAGGGCCCAUCCCAGGCACUCAGGUGGAGGUGGUCUGUCCUAGAGAACGUUCCAUGUGGAUUUGAGAAGAAUAUAUAUUCUCAUGUUGGAUGCAGUGCUGUGCAUAUGUUUGUUAGGUUUAGUUGUUUUAUGUUGUUGUUCAUGUUUUCUAUUUUUUAUCUUCUGUCUACUUGUUCUAUCCAUUAAUAUAAGUGAAGCAUUAAAGUCUCCAACUAUUACUGUUGAA
rnacentral:lncRNA from 1 species